rnacentral:lncRNA from 1 species
AGCUCACGGAGACAAAAGACGGGCCAAUCGCAGGGCAGGGUGUGUCUCCGGUCUUUUCUGCAUCUCUCCGAGAAAAGCCGCCGCUUGAGUGAAGGGAGAAGAGGCGGGGGUAGAAGGAGUCGGAGCCGAGGAGGGGAGUGUGCUUCUCGCCCCAGACAGACGCACGCCGCCUCUGUUUGUAUACAGUACGCUUUCCAGCCGGCACGGCUUUUCUCUCUCGUUCGUCCUCUUGCUUCAUUGUUCUCUUGCUUCCUUGCAGCAAGGGCUGAAGCUCCCAGCCAAGAGACUGCCGCUGAGCUCCGGCAGACGGGGAAGGGUCGGUCUCUCUCCCUCUCUGUCUGUCUCAACCACGCAUCCUCCUACACCUCUGCCUAGCACAUUCCCGGGAGCAGGCGCGUCUGCGUCUCGUGUGAGCUAUGAUUGACUCGUGGCAGCUCUUAGCCUGUGAGCUGCGCUCGGGUCUCCUAGGAUAACCUUUUCAUUAGAAGAGACGCGGAACUCGGCUGAGAAAAAAAAAAAGAGAGAGAGAGAGAGAGAGAGAGAGAGAGAGAGAGAGUUUUCUCCCUUUUCUUCAUCUGUAGUGGAAAGGACACUUAUAUAUAUUUUUAAUAUUAUUUGUGUGUGUGUGUGUGUGUGUGUGUGUGUGUGUGUGCUGACUAGCCAGGUAGAGGGAUCGGCUUUCUCCUUCCUCGCAGCUUUUCCUACUCUUAACUCCUCAAGUCUGCUCCGUCUUCGCCUUCUUGGAAUCGUCCGUCCCUCGGGAGAUCAAAGGAUCAUGAGCCGCUGGGUGGCCGCCUGGUUUCUGCUGUGGGGGAGCCUCGGAGCCCCGUCGCUCGCCAAAGAAAUAGAUGAAGAAGAGCCAACGCCUGCAGGUA